AUCGAUUCCGAAAGAGAUCUGAUUCUAAUCUCAGCGUGGAAAGUAUUCCCCGAUGGAAACUGAAAUAUCUAGCCCACGGUUCCUUCCUCUCCAUUAUCUCUCUCUCUCUCGCCCCAUGCCAUCGUUCCUUCCUCUCCAUUAUCUCUCUCUCCCCCCACGAUUCCUUCCUCUCCAUUAUCUCUCUCUCUCUCUCUCGCCCCAUGCCAUCGUUCCUUCCUCUCCAUUAUCUCUCUCUCCCCCCAUGGAACUAUUUCACGUCCUUUCCUCCCUCCAAUCUCUUUCCCGCAUAAAAACCAAAGCCAUUAUCUCUCUCAAACUAAAGAAAAGCAAGCAGGUCCGUGGAUCUAAGAGGAAAAGGAAGGGAAGCCAUGGAUCUGGCGUGGUCAAGAGGCUUACUGCCUCAAUUUUGUUUUCCUGGUCUAUAUCAGGAUUCGUAUUGAACCCUGAAUCUUCUCACGUACAAUUUUUGGAUGCCUCAUGAAGAUCGGGCUGGAGCACCACUAUGCCCAUCAGUUGUACUUAUACUUCUUGACUAUAUAGGAUUCCCUCGGGAGGCACAAGGCAUCCAACGCUCUAGCCCCCGGGUUUGCCCGGCCACAUCUCUCACGGGGAGCAUGGGCAUCCAUUACACAAGAGAUGCUGGAGAAGCGGGAGUAACCCCAUCGCCUGCAGCUCAAUAAUUGUGGCAUCCAGGUAGUUACUUCAAUCGCAGACGACAUGCUCAAAUCCAUGCCAUGGCAUGUACAUCACGUCAUCGAUGCAUGCAUAAAUUUGUACAUUGGUGAAACCUGAUCAGCGAGCUAGGGCGUUCAACAGGUUAGUAUUGAUUGGUGCAAUCAUAUCUUUCUACUAUUGUAUAGAUAUUUUACUGCCACAUUUAUCUUCUACUAUUCUCCACCACAUGGAAGUGGAAUCUAUGUAAAAAUUGUGCGUGGUUAAGAUGAUCAAUGCAGGUUGGCAAAGCAUCUGAGGAAAAAUAGACAACUCAGGGAUCUCAAAGACUCAAAAUAUUCUGAUUCAGAUUGAGUGUAUAUUGCAAGAAAGUAAACAAGUACAAAUACAAUGGUUGUCAAUACUUACGACUCCUGGAAUAUACAGGGAUAAUAAAAUGUUAAAACUAUGGAGUCAGAGAGAAGGUCAACAAAAUUGUGGAGCAUUCUUUCCGUUGUGUUGUCAUAGUAACAUCAAACAACUGUCCAAAAUUUGAUAUUUGUGUAUUUCAUAUUAAAAGGAUGUAAGUAUUACUAUGUGUAUAUUUACUUUAUAGGAAAGUUAAUAUCAACUUCCACCACCGAGAAGAUGCUGUGUGCUGCGCCCAGUCAAUCCCACCGCACUUCCAUACUUGCACUACUAUUGCAGAUGCCCAGCCGGCUAACUGCCAUGGAUGAGGCGCCACACAUGAUUGAGGAUGACAUGGAGUACCGGUGCACCGCCGUCCGCGCUCGCCCAUUAUCGCCGGAGCCCACGCACGAUAUGCUCGCCUGUGGCCACCGUUUCCAUCCGAAUGAGAGUUUUCCACAUCAUUACCACGGCUGGCAGGUAGGCCAUUCCAUCCGCUGCUGCUGUUCCUUUUGAGGUCUGUUUUCCAUUUGAUUUCAACUUGGGAAAGGUGGAAAAAUACCUUUUAGCUGAAAGCAGUUUCAUCCUAUAGUUUGUACUAUUUCUGGAUUUCUUUAAAUUGCUGUUGUUUUGUGAGCUUUAAACCUGAUCUACUUUUGAUUUUAAAGCAGGUGCUGCUUUGUGGAGUUUUUACUCAACAUAAUUUUGAUCGUCCAUGCUAUUCGCGUAUAUUUGAAAAUUAAAUUUGUCUUAGUCUACAAUGGUUGGGAGUGAAGGCUACAGCAUUUUCAUGUAUUAUUUGGUUCAAUUUCUAUUCCACAAAAACACCUCGGUCCCGUUUUUUGCUGUGACUACUCAACAGUCGACACUGUACUUCUCUUUUUCCUAUUUAAGAUUAGUUUAUUUAUGUCAUUC